rnacentral:tRNA from 9 species
CGGCGAGUAGCGCAGUUUGGUAGCGCAACUGGUUUGGGACCAGUGGGUCGGAGGUUCGAAUCCUCUCUCGCCGACCA